rnacentral:rRNA from 1 species
UACGUAGGGAGCAAGCGUUGUCCGGAAUCAUUGGGCGUAAAGAGCGCGUAGGCGGUCCGGUAAGUCGGUUGUGAAAACUGGGGGCUCAACCCUCAGACGCCGACCGAUACUGUCGGGCUAGAGUCCGGAAGAGGCGAGUGGAAUUCCUGGUGUAGCGGUGAAAUGCGCAGAUAUCAGGAGGAACACCGGUGGCGAAGGCGGUUCUCUGGGCCUGUACUGACGCUGAGGAGCGAAAGCGUGGGGGAGCAAACAGG